rnacentral:misc_RNA from 1 species
AAGUCGUAACAAGGUUUCCGUAGGUGAACCUGCGGAAGGAUCAUUAACACGUAUCCAACGUUAAACCCCCCUGUGAACUUUUAUACUUGCUCUCUUAACUGACGGAAUUGCAAUCCCUGGUAAAUCAUUGUUGAACAGAUUUUGAUUCAGGGACCUCAGUUUGGCAGUUAGGAUUGAGCGAUCGUUGCAAGUGGCCUGGUUUCCCCAAGCAGUCAGUGUCUGAAAGUGGCAUUGCUUGUGUAAGGAUAACGCUUUUCGAUCACUAGAGGCCGACACCGGCCGGUGACCAGGUCGCAGUGGCUUCGGCCCCCUAUAGGCCUCGUAGGAAACUGCUGGGCAACAAAACGAACAACUGUUAACAAUGGAUAUCUUUGUUCUC